CAAGGAAACACAGUGAGAGAUCCAAAUGCGAGUACGUCUUUAUUUAGGGGCAAUCCAAAGAAUAAACAGUCCAGGCAGGGGUCAAAACCAAACAUAUCCAAAAGAUAAACAAACAAGAACACCAGGCUAGACACGACUAGAGACGGACGAGAAUAAACAAGGACUCCGUGACACAUACUAAGACAGACCGGUAUAAAUACACAGGGACAUGACAAACGCUAAUGGGGAAUUGACUGCGUGCAAUGAUUACUAACCAGUGACAGCUGAGUGCAAUGAUAAUCAAUCAAUCAAUCAAUCAAUCAAUCAAUUACUGUGUCCACUUUACAUUAAAGUUCACUUUGACUGGUUACUAAUGUUAAAUAUACUCAUUAAUAAAUAGUUCAUAGGUGUUCACUUUACAUUAAGGUUUGCUUUCAUAGGUUAUUAAAUGAAUGGUAAAUAAAUUUACAUUAAAGGGGUCAUGAUGCUUUUUUAAUGAUCCUUAUUUUGUGAAUUUGGUGUAAUAGAAUAUGUUGACAUGCUCUAAUGAAUUAUUUUUCAAAUACUGUACAUUAUUGUAGGUCUUUUAUGCCCCGCCCCCCUUUUCUACAAAGUCCCUCCUUCCGACAAGCGCAGCCUGCUCUGAUUGGCCAACUGACGCAGUAGAUUGUGAUUAGCCGAACACCACAAGCACUUGUUGGAAAAUAACGCCCCUUUACAUAAUCGCAAGUGCUUAUCUUUCAAAAUAAAUGUAAAGACAGUUAAUAAUGUCCUUAGUUUAACAGUUUUGACAGACACAGUGAUGGAACUCUUAUGUGUUUGCAGUACACAAGCCACGGAUGGUUAAGACAGCUGACUCCACUGUGUGACCAUCUCACUCUCUCUCUCUCAUACACACACGCGACAACUCCGCAUUUGAACAGUCAAUAUCAAAUAAUUAAACUAAUAACAAAACAUACUUACAGUAGCUGAUUCAGAAGUGCCAGAUUGUUGUAGCAAAGUCAGAAUUACCUCCCUUCAUAGGUUGAUGAAACGGUCGUCCAUAAAACGGUCGUUGUUGUUCUGUUGUAAGUAAUCUUAAAGAUUCCUAAAAAUGCAUCUACUUUCGAUAGCCCAAAUAAAGUGCUUUUGCUUUCGCCUAGACACACACAGCAUCUCCCUGACAUGACUGCUUCAACACUGACUGCGGUUACUGAAACCACGCCUUGUUUCUUUGCGAGAAAAUUUGGGCGGCAUUACGCAAAUAUUUACACAUAGUGACGUAGAGAUGUGGGGGCGUUUAAACGAGAUGUUAUUUUGAUGUUUCUUGAUGAAUUUAAGCCUUGUUUCCUCUCUCAAGCUUAUAAAUAACAAAAACAACAACAAAAAUGACAUUUUUGGUGCAUUAUGAUUAUAUGAAUAUUAUGAUUAUUCAAAGAUAUUUAACCUUGUCAUUGUGCUUUUUUCUGUGUAUGUAAUCUCACACUAUGAUUUACACAAACCCACUAAAUUUGUUUCUUAUUCUUAUCUUUUUUUCUUUCUGUCAUUAUGAUGUUCUGUUCAUUGUUAAAGAUGCAACCAUCUUUCCCUGAUCUUGUGGGCAAUUAUAAGUUGUGCAAUAAAAAAUAAAAAAAAGAUAAAAGGGACAGGUGCACUAAUACCUCAUAGCAUCAGUAACUCGACAACCCUACCUAGUACUGUUUUCCUCAGCAUUUGCAGUGUUUGCAGUGUCUGCAUAAAGAUGUAGUGCAGCUGCUUGAAGGUCUCACCUUUGGAGAAGACUUGAUUUUAUACUUGAAAAAUAUGCUCUCGUUGGCUCUGAGCUCACUGAGGAUGAAGAGACCACAGCAGCAUCCGGUCCAGUUGAGGCAGUAAGAGGUGGAGUGAUGGAGUGUCUCACCCAUGGCACUCGACCAUUUCGAGGAAGCUGCUGUGGACUUCUCCAUCCUGUAGCAUCUGCUUAGGAUCAUGUACGAUUGUUUGGGCUUUAUGUUGUAGGGAUUCCUUUAGCCUUUUGACAUUUCAUAUAAAUUACAGAAUCUGGCCCCAUGGUAUACAUUUAUAUGAAUGCUUAAUGGCAAAGUUUACCCUCAUUAUCUGGAAGAUACUGAGCAGACCAACUCUCGGGUCUCCCCAUCCAACUUCAAUCACAUUCCGAGAUAACUAGAUAGCCCUUGAUGCCAGAC
ensembl:lncRNA